GUACACGCUGUGACUAGCAUAUCAAUAAGCGGAGGAAAAGAAACUAACAAGGAUUCCCCUAGUAACGGCGAGUGAAGCGGGAAGAGCCCAAAUUUGAAAUCUUAAAGGGUUUCCCUUUACGAAUUGUAGUUUAAAGAAGUGUUUUCUGUUGAGGUUUUGGUAAAAGUUCUUUGGAAUAGGACAUCAUAGAGGGUGAGAAUCCCGUAUUUGACCUUUACUUUCAACUUUGUGAUACACUUUCAAAGAGUCGGAUUGUUUGGGAAUGCAGUCCAAAAUGGGUGGUAAAUUUCAUCUAAAGCUAAAUAUUGGCGAGAGACCGAUAGCGAACAAGUACCGUGAGGGAAAGAUGAAAAGAACUUUGAAAAGAGAGUUAAACAGUACGUGAAAUUGUCAAAAGGGAAGCGUUUGACACCAGUGUUGUUUUUCUGAAAAUCAAUUAAAGAACUGUUUAUGCUAAGUUGUUUAGACCUUAUCAGCUAACUGUUUAGUUUUGAGCUUUUCUUUAAUGCACUUUUCAGUUAACAAGUCAACAUCAAUCUCUUUUGCUGUAAAAAAGCUUGAGGAAGGUGGCUUGAGAUUCGUUUUAAGUGUUUAUAGCCUCUUGCCUAUGCAGUCGGAGAGAUUGAGGUCUGCAGCGUAGAUCCUUCGGGGCUAAAUGCAUUUGUGCUAAGUUAUAGCAUUUCAUAGACAACUUGUUGACUAUGAUUUGUCUUGUAGCUUACUCGCUUAUGUUAUUUUACCUACGCUUAGGAUAUUGACAGCAGUAUAGACUGU
rnacentral:rRNA from 1 species